GCCAAAAUGGCAUCUCACAACAGUGAGCAAGCACAGCUGGUCUUCUAGGGUGCUCCUGGAUCCAGAGGAGAGCUAAAACAGUAGGAAAGAAGUUUCUUCAGGACUCAGCUGUGCACAUGGGGGCCUUUGUGGAGCUACAUCACUUCAGCCAUGUGCCUUCAUAUCUCCACAGCCAGUCAGCUAGCUCUCCUGGUGCAACAAGGCAGGGCCAUGGCCUCGGGGUUGCAUGGAGGAAGCAGCCCCUGCACUUCUUCCAAGCACAAAGACAAUAGUUGGGUGGGUUCUACAUGGGCUGCACAAGAGAAAAGAGCUCUCCACAGAUUCUCUACAUGGAGGCUACUGGACCCCCAUGACUGCACUUUCCUCAUGGAGAUACUAUGAAGAAAGAGAGGAGAACAAAAGCCGGAUCCUUAUUUUAAAAAAAAUAAAUAAAUGAUGGGUAUGUUGCUGGGAAAUGAACAGGGAGGCAUAAUGGGUUCUUUAGCCUGGUGGACCCUGCUUGUGCCCUCUAACAAUUCAGCCACAGGUGCAGAUUGUCUUCAGGAAAGCCCAUGUAAGUUCCUGUGCACAAUCUCACACGUGCUGGAACAAUUUGCAUAGUGAGGGUGCAGAGAGCCAUUUAACCAAACUGUAAACCCUGUAUAUGAUGGAAACCACUUCAACCUAGCGGAUGCAGCAGCAGCCCUACUUCUAGCACCUAUGCACAAACUGUCAAUCACUUGGGGCGGAACCAGCUGCCCAAGAGCCUAGAGUCAGAAGCUCUGAAUGUACAGUGCUCCCCAUGAAUGCAGGUGAGGUGGAGUUCUGUUGAGGGGAAAAGUUGGGUACUACAGAAGCACUAUGUGGUAACCACUGAGGUGUUCCCCUCACUCACAGAACGGGUGUAGGCCUCUGCAACCAGAGAGCCAUGCAGUUUCCAGCCACAUUCCACAUCACAGAGACACUUGGCCAAGAUUUGGCUUGUAGCAAAGUUACUUUUUUUCAAAACAACUUCACUAUAAGGCAGCCUUGCAUUAAAAUUUAGCCGCCAAGCCACACAUUCUACUCAUCCACCUAUCACACACCGAGGAUGAUUGUUUUAAAAAAUACUUUAUUUGCCCAUGUAGAGAGGGAGAAAGAAUGUCUCCAGGACUAGGGAUGAGCAGAGUUUUGCAAUGCUGCUAUUAUGACCAGACUGUAAUGUUUACAUUGCAGUUCAUUUAGACCACCUGAAUGUCUUUUCUGUUCACUGUAAACUUAGCUUCCCUCUAUCUGAAUAAUUAUUAUUAUUUGUAUUACUGUAUCACCUAGGAGCCAUAGAGUCAUGGCCUGUGACCCCAUUGCCCUAGGCACUGUAAAAACACAGAACAAAAAGAUAGUCACUGCCCCAAAGAACUUACAUAUGACAUAGGCAGACUCUAUAUUCACUCCACUUCCAAAUAUUUAAAAUGUGUAGCUCAGAAUACUGAGAUAAAACAAUACUGCUGGGAAGUUAGGGUAAAGUGAAGGACAGAAUGGGGUUUUAUCCAUGGGGACUUUCUCUGUGCUGUAUAUACAUGUACAUACAUUUCCUAAAGAUGUGAGAACUGCUCCUUAGAUUUAAUCUGAAUAUGGACAUUGUUCAGCAACAUAAUGAAAACUUUACAGCAUAGUUAUUUGGUGUCAAGUUCAUUCAUGAUGUAACUCCAGUGAAGUCAAUGAGUUACACCAGAGAUACGUUUUUGCUCUUUGUAUAGAUCAAACACAACCUGAAAAUAGAACAAAACUAAUGAAUCCCUACAGACAGCCAAAUAAGUAAAAUAUUUAUAGCCACAACAUAAUGAACACUUUGUUUUUAUUACAAAAUAAUUUCAAAUAUAAUCUGAAAAACGUGCUUAUUUCCCAACAAUCAGAUCUCCGUGCUUCCCCUAAUGAGUUAUUUUGGAUGGGUCAAGAUAACAACUCUAGUGACCUAUUGGUUUCAGACCUCUAUUUUUGUUGUUCUAAAAAUCUGAUGUCAUUCAAUGUGAUAUUUUUAAAUUUUAUUUUGGUCAUUAAUUAUUCUUGAUUACUAGGACUAGAUAGAUGACAAAUAAUAAACCUGGGUCUUCUCAAGACAUAGUAUUCAUUUCAGCUUCCAGUCUGCAGGAGACGAGCUUAUCAGCUUUGAGUUACUCACCAUCUGUCUCUGUUCUUAGCCUUCUUCCCAUCUCACUUUACACCCUUUCUUUGGAGAAUCUCCUCCACUCACAUGGCUUCAACUAUUGACUGGCAAAUCUACUUGCCCUCUCCUGAGUACAGCAGGGCAAAAAUCUUUGACCGAACCAUUUUUCAGUGAAAAAUGCAAAUUUGGUGACACCAAAACAUUUUGUGAAUUCAUAUGGGUUUCACCAAAUUGUCUGUGUUUCUUAAAAAAAUAAAAAAACACCUCUCCCCCAAAAUAAAAACAUUUUAAUUCUGACAAGUUCUAAAUGAACCGUUUUAAUUUUUCAGCUGGAAAUGGCUUUUUAUUUAGAAAUCUCAUUUAAUAUAAUGAAAAAACAACUAAAACAUACAAAGCUCAAAAUAAAAAAAAUGUUUCAUUUGAUGCCGAAUGAUUUUUUUAAAAUUUUUUAUUCUGGCUAUAAUAGUUGAGAUUGGAAAGGCUGUUUAGUAAGAGACUGAAGACACACGAUAGUGACGUGUAGAGAAACUAUUACUCAAACUAAUCCCUACAGCAAAGUUGAGAAAUCAAAGAGAUGACCUAGAAAUGGAGUUCUGAUUAAGCAAGGUCAGUUUGCUUGUGAUUCCUAAAAGGUGUCGAGGUCUGAGAAAUGUUUGUUUUGCAAUAUAUUGUGAAAGUGUUAGGGUUGGAAAAUUUGUAAUCUUUGUAAAUGGACAUGAUGUGUUACACUCUGUCUCUCAAGAUGUCAACUAGUAAGCAUGGAAUGUGAAACACUUCGAACGAGGAACAAUUUUAAAAAAAUGAAUUGGACUCUGGCAAUUUUUUAAUCUGUUAUAGUUAUGCCCUUCAGCAUUAGAAAGCAAUUAAAGGCAUGAGACUAUAUGUACUCAUCAGAUGAGGUAUUGCUUGCAAGGGUCAGAUGCAAGAAUGCUACAGUGUUUCUGGAAAAGGAAGAGGUAGAUUACAAUGCAAAUAUCUGUGAUUAGCCUCAAUUGGUGCAUUAUCUGUGUUUACUGGGGCAUAUGGGCAGAAGGUGUCUUUAUAUUUUUGUGGAAUGGGAAAACAGCACCAGGAGUCCUACAGAGGUUCUUUUAGACAGUCAGUGGGAAAUCAGUGGUAGGAAAUAUUUUACUGGUGGUCUUAUUGCUCUUCAGGUAGGGGAGGAAUGAUCCAUCAAUUUCAGUGGCUUUACUCUAUUUUGGUUUUUAUGGCAUGGAAAGGCACCUAAGAGUCAUUCUUUCCAAAUCUCCCUCUAUUGAAAAAUUCUUAUAAAGUUCUUUAUCUAUAUGUCCAAAUUGCUCAUCAGUUUGAACUCUGCAUGUGGAUCUAGGCCUGAAGUUUCAUGUACAAAAUAGGGCUGUCAAUUAAUUGCAGUUAACUCACGCAAUUAACCCCAAAAAUAAAUCAUGAUUAAUUGCA